rnacentral:rRNA from 1 species
AGAGUUUGAUCCUGGCUCAGGAUGAACGCUAGCGGCAGGCUUAACACAUGCAAGUCGAGGGGCAGCGCGGGUAGCAAUACCUGGCGGCGACCGGCGAAAGGGUGCGUAACGCGUGAGCAACUUGCCCGUAUCCGGGACAUAAGCGGUGGAAAACGCCGUCUAAUUUCCCAUAACAACAGGAACCGCAUGAUUUCCGUUUGAAAGAUCCGUCGGAUACGGAUGGGCUCGCGAGACAUUAGCCAGUUGGUAGGGUAACGGCCUACCAAAGCUACGAUGUCUAGGGGUUCUGAGAGGAAGGUCCCCACAUUGGAACUGAGACACGGUCCAAACUCCUACGGGAGGCAGCAGUGAGGAAUAUUGGUCAAUGGGCGCAAGCCUGAACCAGCCAUGCCGCGUGCAGGAUUAAGGCCCUAUGGGUCGUAAACCGCUUUGUUGGGAGCAAUAAGGAGCACGUGUGCUCUGAUGAGAGUACCCAGCGAAUAAGCAUCGGCUAACUCCGUGCC